rnacentral:rRNA from 1 species
GACGAAGGGGGCUAGCGUUGUUCGGAAUUACUGGGCGUAAAGCGCGUGUAGGCGGCUUUGCAAGUCGGGUGUGGAAGCCCUCAGCUCAACUGAGGAAGUGCGCCCGAAACUGCAGAGCUUGAGUGCCGGAGAGGGUGGCGGAAUUCCCCAAGUAGAGGUGAAAUUCGUAGAUAUGGGGAGGAACACCGGUGGCGAAGGCGGCCACCUGGACGGUAACUGACGCUGAGACGCGAAAGCGUGGGGAGCAAACAGG